rnacentral:tRNA from 1 species
AGUAUAGUAGCCAGAACAUCAGACUAUGAUUCUGAAGAUCAGGGUUCAAACCCCUG